GCAGAAGCCCGCCACCAGGACUCUCAGGUCUCCACUGGCCACAGGAGGCCCUGCCUGGGCCUCAGUUUCCCAGACGGACACUGAGACUUCAGAGGAGCCUGGAUCCAGGGGAAUAACUGCAGCUACAGAACCCGAGCGAGAGAGCAGGGUGCCACCUGACUGUCCCGGGGCCCCUGGCUGAUCAGCAACAGAGGCAAGGAGUAGGGGCGUCCGGCUCCCCCCAAGGCCAUCUCCAUGGAAGCAGAGAUGACGCCUGUCACUGGCAGAAGCUGGAGCAGUGGGCAGGCACAGUGCCCUCUGGGCGGGAAGGGUCCCGGGAACUUCUGGCGGUGGUGGGAAAGGAACACCAGCUCUUCCUCACUCUGCACAAGUCCCAGGUAAGUCCAUGCGGCCCUGCCCCGCUCAGUUCUGUCUGAAGGCCUGAAGAUGGGCAUCAGCGUCACAGCAUCCUGCCCUCUCAGAGGCAGAACCUCGGAGACACCCCAUCCUCCCUUCCCAGCCCCAGCCCCUCUUGGGACAGGGCCGGCAGGGUUCUCUCCAAAGCGGCAGACUCCCCAAGGAGGGCCAAGGCCCCAUCCCAGCCCUUCCAUUCGUGCAGCACUCGAUCUUUGUCUGCGGAACCGGCCCGGGGGCGACGUGCUGCCUCCCCAGCUGGACCAUGAGCGCAGGACCAGCCGGCUAGGGUGGAUGCAGGGAAAUUUCCCCCCAUCCACUGUGCCCGCAUGAGACAGCAGC